UACGGAGGGGGCUAGCGUUAUUCGGAAUUAUUGGGCGUAAAGGGCGUGUAGGCGGCUUCGUAAGUCUUGUGUGAAAGCCCUCGGCUCAACCGAGGAAUUGCACGAGAAACUGCGUGGCUCGAGUCCGGGAGAGGAUAGUGGAAUUCCCAGUGUAGCGGUGAAAUGCGUAGAUAUUGGGAGGAACACCGGUGGCGAAGGCGGGUCUCUGGGCCGUAACUGACGCUGAGGAGCGAAAGCAUGGGGGAGCGAACAGG
rnacentral:rRNA from 1 species